rnacentral:rRNA from 1 species
AAGGACUGCUAAUACCGGAUGUGAUCGAAGAGAUUAGAAGCUCUUUGAUUAGGAAUCCACUUCGAGAGGGGCCUGCGUCCCAUCAGCUAGUUGGUAGGUGGCUUACCAAGGCGAUGACGGGUAGGGGACCUGAGAGGGUGGCCCCAAUGGAACUGAAACACGGUCCAUACACCUACGGGUGGCAGCAGAGGUAUUGCAUAAUGGGCGAAAGCCUGAUGCAGCAACGCCGCGUGUCGAAGGCCUUCGGGUCGUAAAGCACUUUUGAAGGGGAUGAGGAAGGCAGCCUUCGAAUAAGCUUCGGCUAACUACGUGCCAGCAGCCGCGGUAAAAGGAAGCGAGCGUUAUCCGGAUUUACUGGGCGUAAAGCGCGUGAGGUCUCGUAAGUUGGAUGUGAAAGCUCCUGGCCUAACUGGGAGAGUCGAA